UACAGAGGUCCCAAGCGUUGUUCGGAUUCACUGGGCGUAAAGGGUGCGUAGGCGGUCGGGUAAGUCUGGCGUGAAAUCUCCAAGCCUAACUUGGAAACUGCGUUGGAUACUAUCCGGCUCGAGGAAUGGAGGGGAGACUGGAAUACUUGGUGUAGCAGUGAAAUGCGUAGAUAUCAAGUGGAACACCAGUGGCGAAGGCGAGUCUCUGGACAUUUCCUGACGCUGAGGAGCGAAAGCGUGGGGAGCGAACAGG
rnacentral:rRNA from 1 species